GUCUUCGUGGCUCAGUUGGUUAGAGCGUUGGUCUCAUAUGAUUGUUCAUGUGAACCAGAUCCACUCUGGUACUGUCCAAUCCAAAGGUCGUGAGUUCGAGUCGUAAGUAAUCA